AUCCGACUGACAAGUUCCAAAUAGGAUGAAACGCGCAUCCUGGAU
rfam:Schistosoma mattheei strain Denwood, Zambia genome assembly, scaffold: SMTD_contig0003182